AGAAAGAAUCCUCUUGUCUUCCCCGCAGCCAGCACUGGGCCAUGUGUAGACAAGACAACGGGUGCCUAGGUCACGGCUUAGCAAAGCGCAGUGGGACACUCAGUGAUGAGAGCGUGUUCCUGGCUGAUUCCCACCGUCGUUCAGGGUUUGGUGAUGGCGUCGGCAAGAAGCUACACGUGAGCCGGGCCGCCCCCAGCCUGCGUCUCCCUGGAUCCAACAUGUGCAGGCAGGGCGUGACGGAAUCCCUCGUUUCAGCUGUCUGCGUGACACAGCAGCCCGCACAGCUGGAAAUCCAAAUCCAUCGUUUGACAGGUGUGCUGGAUCCUUCUGGAACUCCAGAUGGACGGGCGGAAGACUUCUGGUUGGUCUGUGGUCAGAGUUGUGAAAAGCAGAUACACUCGAGCCCUUGGUUUCUGUUUGGGGAGAGUGCUUUACACAGUUCUCCGUCGGGAGUAACUUAUUCUGACGGCAAGCGUAGGCGGAUAGGUCGGGCGCAGCAGCCGGGGCCGCUCAGGGGUUUACCGGGUCGUGAUCCUUGGCCCGGGGCCUCCCGCGUCCUUCUGCGGAUUUUGUGAAGCAUGAAACAAACGAGCUUUGGAGGCGUGGCCAGCCUUUCUUUCCUGCGCUGGUAUCUGACCAGGAAGGUCUUUAAUUUGGAAAAAGUAGAUUGUUUUAAAGCUCAGGAUUUAAAGGGGCUGUUUCGAUUCUUAAUUCCUGUACUUCCGUUCUUUGCUGAGUUGUAAUUUAACUCCUUACAUUUCCUUUUUAGGUGAAUCUGCUGUGUGUGCUGCCAGUAUGUAGGGGGGGAGAGAGAGUGUGAGUGUGUGUGUGUGUGUGUGUGUAAGCCCCAGGUGAAUGUGCUUACUGUUACCCUCCGGACCUAAUCAGACCAGAAAGCCCUUUGCUGUCAGCAUUUUAUAACUGCAUUAGGAAAUUAAAACCUGUGUUAUUGUUUUUUUCAUUGACUCAUUGCCUCUCAUAGGCCCAUGCAUCUCCUUUGUACCGUAUUUAAACACACUGUAAUUCUCCCUAGAAUAUUAUAGCAAAAUGUCAGAAUCCUGCAGCCUGACGAAACUCUUAGAAAGGUUUUCAUCCAGAAUUGGUUUUUGUCCUCCGUGAGAUAGAUUGCGCCCUUCUCUCCACUAGAAUCUUGGCCUCACGUGAGAGAUCGAGGCACGGGUAGGACGCGGCCGGUGGCACGCUCGUUUCCCUGAGCAGCCCGGCUUCGCAGGGGGCCAGGGGCGGCCUGCCUGUGACGGGGGCCGCGUGAACUCACUCCGCUUGCUGUCGUGUUGCGAGCCAAGUGCCACUCGAAAGGUAGCGCUAGCUUGGCGGCGUCUUUCAGAAGCAUGUCCUCCUGUAGACUGAGCUGCUUUGUGACAGAUUUCCCUCUGGGAUGGAGAACUUGUUCCUUCUGUUUCAGAGGCGGAGAAGCGUGUGCUGUGUGUGCUCCUGCUACCGAAGGCGUGCAGCGACCGCAGCCGUUAGCGCCUCCGAAUUCGCGGCCUGCUGCCAACAGAUGAGGAGAGCGUGUGAGUGAAGAAGAAAGCGUCGGCUUCUCUGUUCUGCAUGCAAAUCCCCAAGGCUGACCGAGGAGAGGUGGCAAAGAGGACAGGAGUGAAAACGCCAAGACUGGGAAUUUGGCCGCUUCUAGACCUCACCCCGGUAAUCUGUUCAAGAGGUCGACAAGGAUUCCCGGAGCUCUAGUGAGAACGGGUCAGUGCGGCCCAGGGGACGGGAAGAGUUCCUGAUCCCCCAGGGGACAGGUGGCAAUGCCAGGUGAUGCUAUUGGUUGGCACACCUGGGGGAAGAAGGUGCUACUGGCACCUCGUGGGUAGAAGCCAAGGAUGUUGCUCCAUAUCCCACAACACACGGGAUGGCCCCACGGCAGAGAAUGGUGCAGCCCCGGGAGCCCGUGGUGUCCGGGUGGAGAAACCCGCUCUGAGGAAAAAUCUGGUUGAUCCUCAGUAUUUGUGGAUCCCCUAUGUCCGAAUUUGCCUACUCCUGAAAAUUUAUUUGUAACCCCAAAUCAACACUCCCCG
ensembl:lncRNA